GGAAUAUUUCGAAACAGGAUAAAUUAUGAAGAAGAUCUGAGUACUACCAAGGAACUGAAGAAUCAUCUACUUUGCAGACAAAAUCCUGCUUGAAGUCACAUAAGCAACACAGGCUGGAAAAGAAACAAAGUUCCAGCAGUGAAGAACAGAAGAGAACAGCUGGACUGGGUCAGCAAAAGCAUCCUGCUCCACAGCCUACCUCUGUUCCCAGAAGAAGCAUAUAGUAGCUUUUGGCAUGUGAAAUCUUGCUUAGAAAAUGCACAAAGGCAGAAGGGACCUGGGCCCUGCUAUAUAUAAUCAAGCUGCUGGAAGGCAAUACUGAAAGGGGUGAUAAGAAAUCCUGGAGUGCUUUGUAGUGCCUAUAAUCACAUAAAGGUUUUAUAUUAAUGGGCACAUUUGAAUAAUGAGCAGCAGCAAUAAUAAUUAAGGCAAUGUAUAUUAGCAAUAGUAACCUCUAACAACAGCCAGAUCUUUUCCAUUGUGCUUG